GACGAACGUUGGCGGCGUGCUUAAUACAUGCAAGUCCACUGAAGCAGUGGUAGCAAUAUCGCUGUGGAGGUGGCGCACGGGUGAGUAACACGUAGGUAAUCUGCCUUCAGGUCUGGCAUAACUCCGGGAAACCGGGGCUAAUAGCAGAUGAUGCAGCGGCUCGACAUCGAGACAGUUGUUAAAGCUAUGGCGCCUGAAGAUGAGCCUGCGUCUGAUUAGCUAGUUGGCGGGGUAACGGCCCACCAAGGCAACGAUCAGUAGCUGGUCUGAGAGGAUGAUCAGCCACACUGGAACUGAGACACGGUCCAGAAUCCUACGGGAGGCAGCAGUAAGGAAUAUUGCUCAAUGGGAGAAAUCCUGAAGCAGCAACGCCGCGUGAGGGACGAAGGGCUUUUGCUUGUAAACCUCUGUAGUGAGAGAAAAAAAUCCCAAUCUUUGGGACAUGAUGGUAUCUCAAAAGUAAGCCCCGGCUAACUACGUG
rnacentral:rRNA from 1 species